ACUGGCCUAUGAUGAUAGCAAAAUUAUUGCCUACAUUGUUUGGCUAAAUUGUGAUAAUUGUUUGCAACCCACCUGAGGCCAGU